UCUCAGGUGGCUCACUGGUAAAGAACCUGCCUCCAGUGCAGGAGACACAGGUUCAAUCCCUGAGUUGGGAA
rnacentral:tRNA from 1 species